AUGAAGUUCCCAACUCCCACAGGAAUAGGCGAAAUCAAGGGGGAUUCUGAAACCUCGAAACGAUGCUAUGGGAUAGCCUUAGUCCUAGCGGCCACCGAGCCCGGAAACAUCAAGCGGGAGAACGCUGACAAACGAAAGCAGGAGAAGCGAAAGAAACACGCUGAAAACCUCCAAAGGAAGAACAAACGGCACCGAGAGGUGCAAGUCAUAGAAACCCAUGAUCCCACGCACGAAGAACCUCCGCGCAUGGACGCCGAACUCAAAAAAUGCUUGUUACGGGAUGAGCAACCCGUGGCAAAACCCGCUGUGGCAACAGAGCAAAUUCAGCUCUCUCCUACCGACCC
rnacentral:lncRNA from 1 species